GGUUUAAAGAAGUGUUUGAGUGCAAAUCAAACGGCGGGUCUGAGAUGAUCCUUAAGCCU
rnacentral:tRNA from 1 species